ensembl:misc_RNA 7SK 7SK RNA
GAGUGUAAAUUCAGUCUGGUUGGACAUUUGUCACCCCAUUGACCACCAGGACUGGUUUGACUGAUCUGGCUAAGGUAGGUGUCCCUUUCUUCCUUGUGCUCAAUGUGUAUCUCUCCCCAAGCCACACUCAGAUAGAACAGAAUGAUCUUCCCCAAACAGAAAUGGACUAGUCUUCCUUUGCUCUCGGUUAUACGAGUAGCUGUGCUCUCCUGCUAGAAUCUCCAAACAAGUUCUCAAGCUCCAGCAAAGAAAAUAGUUAAUUUACAUGCUCACAUGCGCACAUGCACGCAUGUGUGUGUGUGUGUGC